rnacentral:rRNA from 1 species
CCCUUAGAGUUUGAUCCUGGCUCAGGACGAACGCUGGCGGCGUGCUUAACACAUGCAAGUCGAACGGAAAGGCCCUGCUUGCAGGGUACUCGAGUGGCGAACGGGUGAGUAACACGUGGGUGAUCUGCCCUGCACUUCGGGAUAAGCUUGGGAAACUGGGUCUAAUACCGGAUAGGAACCAUCUUUAGUGUGGUGGUUGGAAAGUUUUUUCGGUGUAGGAUGAGCUCGCGGCCUAUCAGCUUGUUGGUGGGGUAAUGGCCUACCAAGGCGGCGACGGGUAGCCGGCCUGAGAGGGUGUACGGCCACAUUGGGACUGAGAUACGGCCCAGACUCCUACGGGAGGCAGCAGUGGGGAAUAUUGCACAAUGGGCGCAAGCCUGAUGCAGCGACGCCGCGUGGGGGAUGAAGGCCUUCGGGUUGUAAACUCCUUUCGCUAGGGACGAAGCUUUUUGUGACGGUACCUAGAUAAGAAGCACCGGCUAACUACGUGCCAGCAGCCGCGGUAAUACGUAGGGUGCGAGCGUUGUCCGGAAUUACUGGGCGUAAAGGGCUCGUAGGUGGUUUGUCGCGUCGUCUGUGAAAUUCUGGGGCUUAACUCCGGGCGUGCAGGCGAUACGGGCAUAACUUGAGUGCUGUAGGGGUAACUGGAAUUCCUGGUGUAGCGGUGAAAUGCGCAGAUAUCAGGAGGAACACCGAUGGCGAAGGCAGGUUACUGGGCAGUUACUGACGCUGAGGAGCGAAAGCAU